rnacentral:rRNA from 1 species
AAACUUGAGAGUUUGAUCAUGGCUCAGAACGUACGCUGGCGGCACGCCUAACACAUGCAAGUCGAACGAAGUAGCAAUACUUAGUGGCAGACGGGUGAGUAACAUGUGGGUAUCUGCCCUUUGGCCUGGAAUAACACGAGGAAACUUGUGCUAAUACCGGAUAAGUCUUUACGGAGAAAGCUUUAUGCACCAUUGGAUGAGCCCGCACUUGAUUAGUUUGUUGGUGGGGUAAUGGCCUACCAAGACUGUGAUCAAUAGCUGAUUUGAGAGGAUGAUCAGCCACAUUGGGACUGAGACACGGCCCAAACUCCUACGGGAGGCAGCAGUGGGGAAUCUUGCACAAUGGAGGAAACUCUGAUGCAGCGAUGCCGCGUGAGUGAAGAAGGCCCUUGGGUUGUAAAGCUCUUUCGUCGGGGAAGAAAAUGACUGUACCCGAAUAAGAAGGUCCGGCUAACUUCGUGCCAGCAGCCGCGGUAAUACGAAGGGACCUAGCGUAGUUCGGAAUUACUGGGCUUAAAGAGUUCGUAGGUGGUUGAAAAAGUUAGUGGUGAAAUCCCAGAGCUUAACUCUGGAACUGCCAUUAAAACUUUUCAGCUAGAGUAUGAUAGAGGAAAGCAGAAUUUCUAGUGUAGAGGUGAAAUUCGUAGAUAUUAGAAAGAAUACCAAUUGCGAAGGCAGCUUUCUGGAUCAUUACUGACACUGAGGAACGAAAGCAUGGGUAGCGAAGAGGAUUAGAUACCCUCGUAGUCCAUGCCGUAAACGAUGUGUGUUAGACGUUGGAAAUUUAUUUUCAGUGUCGCAGCGAAAGCGAUAAACACACCGCCUGGGGAGUACGACCGCAAGGUUAAAACUCAAAUGAAUUGACGGGGACCCGCACAAGUAGUGGAGCAUGUGGUUUAAUUCGAAGAUACGCGCAGAACCUUACCAACACUUGACAUGUUCGUCGCAACUCUAAGAGAUUAGAGUUUUCGGUUCGGCCGGACGAAACACAGGUGCUGCAUGGCUGUCGUCAGCUCGUGUCGUGAGAUGUUGGGUUAAGUCCCGCAACGAGCGCAACCCUCACUUUUAGUUGCCAUCAUUAAGUUGGGCACUCUGAAAGAACUGCCAGUGAUAAGCUGGAGGAAGGUGGGGAUGACGUCAAGUCCUCAUGGCCCUUACGUGUUGGGCUACACACGUGCUACAAUGGUAUCUACAACAGGAAGCAAGACUGCGAGGUCAAGCAAAUCCUUAAAAGAUACCUCAGUUCGGAUUGCACUCUGCAACUCGAGUGCAUGAAGCUGGAAUUACUAGUAAUCGUGGAUCAGCGUGCCACGGUGAAUGCGUUCCCGGGUCUUGUACACACCGCCCGUCACACCAUGGGAGUUGGUUCUACCUUAAGGCAAGGUUUCAAACCCUUGACCACGGUAUAGUCAGCGACUGGGGUGAAGUCGUAACAAGGUAGCCGUAGGGGAACCUGCGGCUGGAUUACCUCCUUU